rnacentral:rRNA from 1 species
UGAAUACGAGAUGCUACGGCGUCGAAGCAGUCUAUGUCAUACUUCCAAGAAAAGCUCGCACUGUCAUAAACAAAUAAUGCCUGUACCAUAACCGACACAGGUGGGUAGGUAGAGUAUACUAAGGGGCGCGAGAUAACUCUCUCUAAGGAACUCGGCAAAAUGACUCCGUAACUUCGGGAGAAGGAGUGCCUUAUUUAUAAGGUUGCAAUAACAAGAUCCAAGCAACUGUUUAUCAAAAACACAGGUCUCCGCUAAGUCGUAAGACGAUGUAUGGGGGCUGACGCCUGCCCAGUGCCAGAAGGUUAAAGAAGUUGGUUAGCAUUCGCGAAGCUGAUAACUGAAGCCCUGGUGAACGGCGGCCGUAACGAUAACGGUCCUAAGGUAGCGAAAUUCCUUGUCGGGUAAGUUCCGACCCGCACGAAAGGCGUAAUGAUUUGGAUACUGUCUCGGAGAGGGGCUCGGUGAAAUAGACUUGUCUGUGAAGAUGCGGACUACCUGCACCAGGACAGAAAGACCCUAUGAAGCUUUACUGUAACUUGAGAUUGAAAUUGGACUUUACUUGCGCAGUAUAGGUGGGAGGCGUUGAUAAUAUUCUUGCGGGAUUAUUUGAGCCAUCAGUGAGAUACCACUCUUGUAAUGUUAGAUUUCUAACUUUGUAUCAUUAUCUGGUCAAAGGACAGUUUCAGGCGGGCAGUUUGACUGGGGCGGUCGCCUCCUAAACGGUAACGGAGGCGCACAAAGGUUUCCUCUGAACGGGUAGAAAUCGUAUCUAGAGUGUAAAGGCAUAAGGAAGCUUGACUGUGAGACCUACAAGUCGAGCAGGGACGAAAGUCGGUCUUAGUGAUCUGACGGUGCUGAGUGGAAAGGCCGUCACUCAACGGAUAAAAGUUACUCUAAGGAUAACAGGCUGAUCUCCCCCAAGAGUUCACAUCGACGGGGAGGUUUGGCACCUCGAUGUCGGCUCAUCGCAUCCUGGGGCGGUAGUACGUCCCAAGGGUUGGGCUGUUCGCCCAUGAAAGCGGUACGCGAGCUGGGUUCAGAACGUCGUGAGACAGUUCGGUCCAUAUCCGGUGUAGGCGUUAGAAUAUUGAGAGGAGCCUUCUUUAGUACGAGAGGACCGAGAAGGACAUACCUCUGGUGUACCAGUUAUCGUGCCAACGGUAAACGCUGGGUAGCUAUGUAUGGAGUGGAUAACCGCUGAAAGCAUCUAAGUGGGAAGCCCACCUCAAGAUAAGUAUUCUCA